GUGUGGUGAUGAUCCCAACAUGCCAUCUGAGCACCCUUGCUGAGAACCAGAGGAGAAAAAAUAUAUCUAUGCCU
rnacentral:snoRNA from 1 species